UGGGGAAUAUUGGGCAAUGGAGGAAACUCUGACCCAGCAACGCCGCGUGAAGGAAGAAGGUUUUCGGAUUGUAAACUUCUGUCGCAGGGGACGAAAGAAAUGACGGUACCCUGCAAGAAAGCUCCGGCUAACUACGUGCCAGCAGCCGCGGUAAUACGUAGGGAGCAAGCGUUGUCCGGAAUUACUGGGCGUAAAGGGUGCGUAGGCGGCCAUGCAAGUCAGAUGUGAAAUCCCCGGGCUCAACCUGGGUGUUGCAUUUGAAACUAUGUGGCUUGAGUGCAGGAGAGGAAAGCGGAAUUCCUAGUGUAGCGGUGAAAUGCGUAGAUAUUAGGAGGAACACCAGUGGCGAAGGCGGCUUUCUGGACUGUAACUGACGCUGAGGCACGAAAGCGUGGGGAGCAAACA
rnacentral:rRNA from 1 species